AUCUUCUGUCACUCAAGGCCUGAGGGCGGGGAACCCGGAGCCCUAUCCAAUCAAGACGCUGGGGUGGGAACUGUCCAAUCAGAUUCACAACCAGAGAGGAAGGGGCGGCUCCUGGUAUCUGGCGGGGUCUUUGUCUUGUUCCAGCCAGAGCUUGAGGUCCUUGCUUUACUGUCCUGUGUCCUGUUUCCUGGAGGUCUUGGUGAUUCUGCCACAGCCUCAGCCUCACCCUCCAUCGCUCUGUGACCUACUGGUAUUGGAACAUUCAUAGCUAAGACCGGAGGACAGCUCUGAAGCCGCAAAAUGACAGACAGAAAAGGCUGGACCUCAGAGCCACCAACCCUUCAG